rnacentral:misc_RNA from 1 species
AGGGAUCAUUAAAAAGGACGGGUCCUGGACCCCUUCAUCCCUCAAACCCGUGGAAGUGAGAUGUGCUUCGGCGCCUCUGGGCGUCGAAUCCAUGCCGUUUAGCUUGUGUCUGAAGAAAAACAAACAUUUAAAACUUUCAACAAAGGAUCUCUUGGCUCUC